GACGAACGCUGGCGGCGCGCUUAACACAUGCAAGUCGAACGGAAAGGCCUGCUUUCCCUUGUGGAUUGCGGGUACUCGAGUGGCGAACGGGUGAGUAACACGUGAGUGAUCUGCCCCCAACUUGGGUAUAAGCCUGGGAAACUGGGUCUAAUUCCCGAUAGGACUGCAGGGUGGUGCCUGUGGUGGCACACGAUUUUCUAGUGGUUGGGGAUGAGCUCGCGGCCUAUCAGCUUGUUGGUGGGGUAAUGGCCUACCAAGGCGGCGACGGGUAGCCGGCCUGAGAGGGUGGACGGCCACAUUGGGACUGAGAUACGGCCCAGACUCCUACGGGAGGCAGCAGUGGGGAAUAUUGCACAAUGGGCGGAAGCCUGAUGCAGCGACGCCGCGUGGGGGAUGACGGCCUUCGGGUUGUAAACUCCUUUCGACCGCGAGGAAGCCACCUGGUUGGAAGGGUGGUGACGGCAGUGGGAGAAGAAGCACCGGCUAACUACGUG
rnacentral:rRNA from 1 species